rnacentral:rRNA from 1 species
AGAGUUUGAUCAUGGCNCAGGAUGAACGCUAGCUACAGGCUUAACACAUGCAAGGUCGGAGGGGAAACGAUAUUGGAAGCUUGCUUCCGAUAGGCGUCGACCGGCGUACGGGUGAGUAACGCGUAUCCAACCUGCCCACCACUUGGGGAUAACCUUGCGAAAGUAAGACUAAUACCCAAUGACGUCUCUAGAAGACAUCUGAAAGAGAUUAAAGAUUUAUCGGUGAUGGAUGGGGAUGCGUCUGAUUAGCUUGUUGGCGGGGUAACGGCCCACCAAGGCGACGAUCAGUAGGGGUUCUGAGAGGAAGGCCCCCCACAUUGGAACUGAGACACGGUCCAAACUCCUACGGGAGGCAGCA